rnacentral:antisense_RNA from 1 species
AUUCAGGGACACCUGCGGCUCCAGGUCAGCGAUGCACCUGCUAGUCCUGCCUCUACAGGACCCAACCCAUCAGUUCCUAGCUUGUCCUUCUGGUGAGAAUUGAGCACACUAUACUGUGGACAUAAAGACAAACCUUGCUGGAACUGACUGGUGGAAUGUAGCAGGAAUCGGAGGGAAGCUUUACUCAUCAUUCCAGUCCAGGGACCAACAUAGGAAAUUAUGUUAAAAUUGGUUCUCUGCUUACUUCCGUCCUCUAGUUGCAUAUUCUUAAUCAGGUAAAGCUAUUUGUUGACCUUGUUUUUAAUACUUAGAGGAGUGCCCUGGAGCCUGUCUGCCCUCAUGGUUGCCUGGAGAGGUAGGAAGAUCAGGAAUAGUAAAACAGACCAAAGAUUUCUCAAUUUCUCUUGGGGAAGUGGCUGGGAUUGGGGAUGGUGGCCAAAGGGAGCCCAACUUUAUUGGUAAAAUUCUGAUUAUUUUAUGAGAAGAAUGUAUUUUUGUAUCAUUUGUGUAAUUAAAAAAUUAAGCAAAUGAAUAAUAUGAAUACUUCAGAUCUUAAACACUGACAAUGUAUAUACUGGAUGUAAUAAAAUGC